GUGGCUCAGUGGAAGAGCAUCUGCUUUCCAUGCAAAAGGUUCUAGGUUCAAUACCCAGAAUUCCA
rnacentral:tRNA from 1 species